rnacentral:siRNA from 1 species
AGAGCAAUCUAGGCAAAGUUCAGU